rnacentral:sRNA from 1 species
AUUUUAUAUAUUAAUAUUGUUGAUUAUAGAGAUUACUACAAAAUUUAUUAUUUUUUAUUACAUAAUACUGUUUAUCAAACAUUGCUAGAAAAUUACAUAGCAAUUUACUAAUCAAUUAAGUAAAAAAUUCUGAUUUUCAGAUUUUAU